rnacentral:rRNA from 1 species
UAAGGAAUAUUGGUCAAUGGACGCAAGUCUGAACCAACCACGCCGCGUGGAGGGUGAAGGCCCUCUGGGUUGUAAACUUCUUUUAUAUGGGACGAAAAAGGGUCUUUCUAGAUCAACUGACGGUACCAUGUGAAUAAGCACCGGCUAACUCCGUGCCAGCAGCCGCGGUAAUACGGAGGGUGCAAGCGUUAUCCGGAUUCACUGGGUUUAAAGGGUGCGUAGGUGGGUAUGUAAGUCAGUGGUGAAAUCCCCGAGCUUAACUUGGGAACUGCCGUUGAUACUAUAUAUCUUGAAUGCCGUAGAGGUAAGCGGAAUAUGUCAUGUAGCGGUGAAAUGCUUAGAUAUGACAUAGAACACCAAUUGCGAAGGCAGCUUACUAUGCGGUUAUUGACACUGAGGCACGAAAGCGUGGGUAGCAAACA